AACGAACGCUGGCGGCAUGCUUAACACAUGCAAGUCGAACGGACUUAUGAGUUUCGAUUCAUAAGUUAGUGGCAGACGGGUGAGUAACGCGUGGGAAUGUACCAAUUGGUUCGGAAUAACUACGGGAAACUGUAGCUAAUACUGGAUAAGCCCGAGAGGGGAAAGAUUUAUCGCCGAUUGAGCAGCCCGCGUUAGAUUAGGUAGUUGGUGGGGUAAAGGCCUACCAAGCCUGCGAUCUAUAGCUGGUCUGAGAGGAUGAUCAGCCACACUGGGACUGAGACACGGCCCAG
rnacentral:rRNA from 1 species